GGAUGUCCGACGUUUACUGUGAAAAAAUCAGAGUGUUCAACGCAGGCUUACGCCUUGAAUACAUUAGCAUGGAAUAAUGAGAUACGACCUCGGCGGUCUAUUUUGUUGGUUUGCACGCCGAGGUAAUGAUUAACAGGGACGGUUGGGGUUCUUCGUAUUCAAUUGUCAGAGGUGAAAUUCUUGGAUUUAUGAAAGACGAACCACUGCGAAAGCAUUUGCCAAGGAUGUUUUCAUUAAUCAAG
rnacentral:rRNA from 12 species